AAUGAACGCUGGCGGCGUGCUUAACACAUGCAGGUCGUGCGCGAAGGUGGCUUCGGCCACCGGAGAGCGGCGGACGGGUGAGUAACACGUGGGUAAUCUGCCUAGGAGUGGGGAAUAACCUGGGGAAACUCGGGCUAAUACCGCAUACGUCGUCGGGACUGCGGUCCCGACAAGAAAGCUGGCCUCUGCUUGCAUGCUAGCGCUCCUAGAGGAGCCCGCGGCUGAUUAGCUAGUUGGUGAGGUAAUGGCUCACCAAGGCGACGAUCAGUAGCCGGCCUGAGAGGGUGAACGGCCACACUGGGACUGAGACACGGCCCAGACUCCUACGGGAGGCAGCAGUGGGGAAUAUUGGACAAUGGGCGAAAGCCUGAUCCAGCAACGCCGCGUGGAGGACGAAGGUCUUCGGAUCGUAAACUCCUGUCAGAUGGGACG
rnacentral:rRNA from 1 species